rnacentral:lncRNA from 10 species
GCCGGGCGUGGUGGCGCAUGCCUGUAAUCCCAGCUACUCGGGAGGCUGAGGCAGGAGAAUUGCUUGAACCCGGGAGGCGGAGGUUGUGGUGAGCCGAGAUUGCGCCAUUGCACUCCAGCCUGGGCAACAGGAGUGAAAUUCCAUCUUAAAAAUAAAAUAAAAUAAAUGCUUUCGCUCUCAGAAAAGUAAAUCUAACAGUAGCUUUCUUUGUUUUUGUUGUUGUUGUUUGUUAGUUGGUUGCUCUGUCACCCAGACUGGAGUGCAGUGGUGCGAUCUCGGCUUGCUGCAACCUCCGCCUCUUGGGUUCAAGCGAUUCUCCUGC